rnacentral:rRNA from 1 species
AGUGAACGCUGGCGGUAGGCCUAACACAUGCAAGUCGAACGGCAGCACAGUAAGAGCUUGCUCUUACGGGUGGCGAGUGGCGGACGGGUGAGGAAUACAUCGGAAUCUACUUUUUCGUGGGUGAUAACGUAGGGAAACUUACGCUAAUACCGCAUACGACCUACGGGUGAAAGCAGGGGAUCUUCGGACCUUGCGCGAUUGAAUGAGCCGAUGUCGGAUUAGCUAGUUGGCGGGGUAAAGGCCCACCAAGGCGACGAUCCGUAGCUGGUCUGAGAGGAUGAUCAGCCACACUGGAACUGAGACACGGUCCAGACUCCUACGGGAGGCAGCAGUGGGGAAUAUUGGACAAUGGGCGCAAGCCUGAUCCAGACAUACCGCGUGGGUGAAGAAGGCCUUCGGGUUGUAAAGCCCUUUUGUUGGGAAAGAAAAGCAGCAGGUUAAUACCCCGCUGUUCUGACGGUACCCAAAGAAUAAGCACCGGCUAACUUCGUG